CUUGACAAAAUAUAAGAGGUCCAGCCUGCCCAGUGACAAAGUUAAACGGCCGCGGUACCCUAACCGUGCGAAGGUAGCGCAAUCACUUGUUCUUUAAAUGAGGACUAGUAUGAAUGGCAUCACGAGGGUUGUACUGUCUCCCCUUUUUAAUCAAUGAAACUGACCCCCCCGUGAAGAGGCGGGGAUAUAACUAUAAGACGAGAAGACCCCAUGGAGCUUUAAACUCAGUAUCAACCGCCUAACAACACAUCAUUACAAUUUGGCAGAUCUGAUUACUAGUUUUCGGUUGGGGUGACCGCGGAGUAAAACAAAACCUCCACGAUGAAAGGACCUAUGCUCCUAAUCAUAGAGCCACAGCUCAAAGAAUCAAAAAACUGACAUAAAUUGAUCCAAUUAAUUUGAUCAACGAACCA
rnacentral:rRNA from 1 species